UAAACCGUACUGAAAACCGACACAGGUGGUCAGGUAGAGAAUACUCAGGCGCUUGAGAGAACUCGGGUGAAGGAACUAGGCAAAAUAGCACCGUAACUUCGGGAGAAGGUGCGCUGGCGUAGGUUGUAGGAGUAUACCUCCGAAGGCUGAACCAGUCGAAGAUACCAGCUGGCUGCAACUGUUUAUUAAAAACACAGCACUCUGCAAACACGAAAGUGGACGUAUAGGGUGUGAUGCCUGCCCGGUGCUGGAAGGUUAAUUGAUGGUGUUAUCGAAAGAGAAGCUCCUGAUCGAAGCCCCAGUAAACGGCGGCCGUAACUAUAACGGUCCUAAGGUAGCGAAAUUCCUUGUCGGGUAAGUUCCGACCUGCACGAAUGGCAUAAUGAUGGCCAGGCUGUCUCCACCCGAGACUCAGUGAAAUUGAAAUCGCCGUGAAGAUGCGGUGUACCCGCGGCUAGACGGAAAGACCCCGUGAACCUUUACUAUAGCUUGACACUGAACAUUGAAUUUUGAUGUGUAGGAUAGGUGGGAGCCUAAGAAGCAGUCACGCCAGUGAUUGUGGAGGCGUCCUUGAAAUACCACCCUUUAACGUUUGAUGUUCUAACGAAGAUUGCUAAACGCGGUCUCGGACAGUGUCUGGUGGGUAGUUUGACUGGGGCGGUCUCCUCCCAAAGAGUAACGGAGGAGCACGAAGGUUUGCUAAUCACGGUCGGACAUCGUGAGGUUAGUGCAAUGGUAUAAGCAAGCUUAACUGCGAGACAGACAAGUCGAGCAGGUGCGAAAGCAGGUCAUAGUGAUCCGGUGGUUCUGAAUGGAAGGGCCAUCGCUCAACGGAUAAAAGGUACUCCGGGGAUAACAGGCUGAUACCGCCCAAGAGUUCAUAUCGACGGCGGUGUUUGGCACCUCGAUGUCGGCUCAUCACAUCCUGGGGCUGAAGUAGGUCCCAAGGGUAUGGCUGUUCGCCAUUUAAAGUGGUACGCGAGCUGGGUUUAGAACGUCGUGAGACAGUUCGGUCCCUAUCUGCCGUGGGCGUUGGAGAAUUGAGAGGGGCUGCUCCUAGUACGAGAGGACCGGAGUGGACGCAUCACUGGUGUACCAGUUGUCUCGCCAGAGGCACUGCUGGGUAGCUAAAUGCGGAAGAGAUAAGUGCUGAAAGCAUCUAAGCACGAAACUCGCCUUAAGAUGAGUUCUCCCAGUCUAUAAGACUGUAAGGGUUGUUGGAGACUACGACGUAGAUAGGUCUGGUGUGUAAGCGGUGUGAGCCGUUGAGCUAACAGAUACUAAUUGCCCGAGAGGCUUAACU
rnacentral:rRNA from 1 species